AGAUUGAACGCUGGCGGCAUGGCUAAAACAUGCAAGUCGAAUGCGAACGGGGGCAACCCCUAGUAGAAUGGCGAAAGGGCGAGGAAUAAAUUCCUACGUACCCUGAGGUCGGGGAUACCUCGGAGAAAUCCGAAUCAAUACCCGAUGUGGUCCGAGAGGAUCAAAGGUUUACUGCCUCAGGAGCGGGGAAUUUCCUAUCAGGUAGUUGGUAGGGUAAUGGCCUACCAAGCCUAAGACGGGUAGCGGGUGUGAGAGCACGGCCCGCCGCAUCGAGACUGAGACACUGCUCGGACUCCUACGGGAGCUGCAGUAACGAAUCUUCCGACAAUGCGACGAAAGCCGUGACGGGGGCAAU
rnacentral:rRNA from 1 species